rnacentral:rRNA from 1 species
GAUGAACGCUGGCGGCGUGCCUAAUACAUGCAAGUCGAGCGAACAGACGAGGAGCUUGCUCCUCUGACGUUAGCGGCGGACGGGUGAGUAACACGUGGAUAACCUACCUAUAAGACUGGGAUAACUUCGGGAAACCGGAGCUAAUACCGGAUAACAUGUUGAACCGCAUGGUUCAACAGUGAAAGACGGUCUUGCUGUCGCUUAUAGAUGGAUCCGCGCCGCAUUAGCUAGUUGGUAAGGUAACGGCUUACCAAGGCAACGAUGCGUAGCCGACCUGAGAGGAUGAUCGGGCACACGAGAAAUGAGACACGGUCCGGACUCCGACGGGAGGCAGCGGUGGGGACGAGUGGGCAAUGGGCGAUAGCGUGAUCGAGCAAUACCGCGUGUGUGAUGAAGGCAUUCGGGUUGUAAAUCCCUGUUGUUGGGAAAGAAACGCAGCAGGUUAAGCCCCCUCAGUGCUGACGGGACCCAAAGAAUAAGCAACGGCUAACUUCGUG